CCUACGGGAGGCAGCAGUGAGGAAUAUUGGUCAAUGGACGAGAGUCUGAACCAGCCAAGUAGCGUGAAGGAUGACUGCCCUAUGGGUUGUAAACUUCUUUUAUAAAGGAAUAAAACGAGGCACGUGUGCCUUUUUGCAUGUACUUUAUGAAUUAGGAUCGGCUAACUCCGUGCCAGCAGCCGCGGUAAUACGGAGGAUCCGAGCGUUAUCCGGAUUUAUUGGGUUUAAAGGGAGCGUAGAUGGGUUGUUAAGUCAGUUGUGAAAGUUUGCGGCUCAACCGUAAAAUUGCAAUUGAUACUGGCAGUCGUGAGUACAGUUGAGGUAGGCGGAAUUCGUGGUGUAGCGGUGAAAUGCUUAGAUAUCACGAAGAACCCCGAUUGCGAAGGUAGCUUACUAAACUGUGACUGACAUUGAUGCUCGAAAGUGUGGGUAUCAAACAGGAUGAGAUACCCUUGUAGUC
rnacentral:rRNA from 1 species